GAAGAAAUCAGCAAAAUCACUAAGUCUCAAAAUUUAAACCAAACUAUAUCUCCCAAGUUCUUCACAAUUUCCAUCAAAACUGGAAAAGAUACCAUUAGGGAUUGUUGAUUUCAAAUUGGUUUCUAAUGAAGCAUUGAACAAUUAAUCACCAAGGAGUGCAAUCAGUUUACAAGCACAAAUUGAAUCAAGAAAAGGUAGCAUACUCUUUCUUUCAAAUUUUAAAGAAAUUAGUAGAAAGUUUAAUGGUUAAAUUGCUAGAAAUUGUUGUUUGUGUUAUAAGAAG
rnacentral:lncRNA from 1 species